CCCUUAGAUGUUCUGGGCCGCACGCGCGCUACACUGACUGCUCCAACAAGUUACCUGGGCUGACAAGCAUCCGGGAAAUCUUGCAAAGGCAGUCGUGAUGGGGAUAGAUUCUUGUAAUUUUUGAUCUUCAACGAGGAAUUCCUAGUAAACGCAAGUCAUCAGCUUGCAUUGGUUACGUCCCUGCCCUUUGUACACACCGCCCGUCGCAUCUACCGAUUGAAUGGAGAGGCAAAAUCUUCGGACCGUGACGCUUGGGAGUCAAAUCUCGGGCUGUCGUGGGAAGUGGAUUAAACCUUUCUAUUUAGAGGAAGGUAAAGUCGUAACA
rnacentral:rRNA from 1 species